GAUGAAGAACGCAGCGAAAUGCGAUAAGUAAUGUGAAUUGCAGAAUUCAGUGAAUCAUCGAAUCUUUGAACGCACCUUGCGCCCUUUGGACAUUCCGAAGGGCAUGCCUGUUUGAGUAUCAUGAACACCUCAACUCUCACGGCUUGUCCGUGAUGAGCUUGGACUUUGGGGGUCUUGCCGGCCUGUGGUCGGCUCCUCUCAAAUGGAUCAGCUUGCCAGUGUUUGGUGGCAUCACAGGUGUGAUAACUAUCUGCGCUUGUGGUUUUCCAUCAGAUAACCUUCAGUGAUAUGGAGGUUCGCUGGAGCUCACAAAUGUCUCUCCUUAGUGAGGACAGCUCUUUGAACGUUUGAUCUCAAAUCAGUUAGGACUACCCGCUGAACUUAAGCAUAUCAAUAAGCGGAGGA
rnacentral:misc_RNA from 1 species